UACGUAGGGUGCAAGCGUUGUCCGGAUUUAUUGGGCGUAAAGAGCUCGUAGGCGGCUUGUUGCGUCAGCUGUGAAAACCCCGCAGCUCAACUGUGGGCUUGCAGCUGAUACGGGCAGGCUUGAGUUCGGUAGGGGAGACUGGAAUUCCUGGUGUAGCGGUGAAAUGCGCAGAUAUCAGGAGGAACACCGGUGGCGAAGGCGGGUCUCUUGGGCCG
rnacentral:rRNA from 1 species